rnacentral:rRNA from 1 species
GACGAACGCUGGCGGCGUGCCUAAUACAUGCAAGUCGAGCGGACCUCUUCGGAGGUCAGCGGCGGACGGGUGAGUAACACGUGGGCAACCUGCCUGUAAGACUGGGAUAACUCCGGGAAACCGGAGCUAAUACCGGAUACUAUGUCAAACCGCAUGGUUUGACAUUCAAAGACGGUUUCGGCUGUCACUUACAGAUGGGCCCGCGGCGCAUUAGCUAGUUGGUGAGGUAACGGCUCACCAAGGCGACGAUGCGUAGCCGACCUGAGAGGGUGAUCGGCCACACUGGGACUGAGACACGGCCCAGACUCCUACGGGAGGCAGCAGUAGGGAAUCUUCCGCAAUGGACGAAAGUCUGAUGGAGCAACGCCGCGUGAGUGAUGAAGGUUUUCGGAUCGUAAAACUCUGUUGUCAGGGAAGAACAAGUGCCGGAGUAACUGCCGGCGCCUUGACGGUACCUGACCAGAAAGCCACGGCUAACUACGUGCCAGCCGCCGCGGUAA